AAGAAAGGCAGUUCAGAUUUGGCUCUUGAUGAUGUUUCUCUGCAGUCUUUUUUGCUGCACUCUUUCAGAUCAAUAAGCAACCUGUAUAGCAUCUUCAGCUGGUCUCCUUUACUUACACACCUGGAGUGCUGCUGUUGCAGGCAACAUUCUUGCUGUCUUCACUAUGUGUGUGUGGCCACACCUGGCUGGAUGCUUUGUUGGCUGUCUGCAUCCUGGAAAAGCCAUGAGUACAGCCAUGUUCACCUAUGUUCUUGAAUUAUUCUUCUGUGUAUGGUGUACAGCUUAUAAAUUUGUACCUGGAGGAAUUUACGCUAGAGAAAGCUCCCAUCUUCUUUUAGGUGCAAGUGCUAUUUCUUGCUUUCUCCUCCUGUCCAAUAUCCUGCCUUUCUCUUGCCGCAUUUCGGGUAGGGAACAGCACUGGGGAAAGUGACAAUGAAAGUAAGAUCAUUAUAUUCAAAACUUCUGUGCUACUUCACUGUGAGGUAACCUAAUGCUGGGGGGUCAAAUCUCUGGUUGCCCAUUGAGUUUAAUGGCUUUGAAGUACACUCCCUUUGAG
rnacentral:lncRNA from 1 species